rnacentral:lncRNA from 1 species
CAGGUACUAGUCGCGGCGACGAGGCUAGUUCACGGCAUUUGGGAGUGAAGAGCUAAGCAAUAUCGGCCGGGACGUGCAAGAGUCGGUAGCAGUUGACCUUGGGCGCAUCAAAGCCUACUAAGCAACAGCGGCCGGGACGUGCAAGAGUCGGUAGCAGUUGACCUUGGGCGCAUCAAAGCCUACUUUCAGGAUUUUCCACCGGGAGUUGGUACCUCCCGCUCUCUUGUUUACUUUGUACACCUUUUUACGUAUUUUAGCUAGCAUUCCGUUUGGGGUUUACUCUGUUGCUAUCUAGUUUGUAUCUUUUUGCGUAUUCCUCUAUAGUGCGUGUGUGCGUCACUAUUCUGCAUAGUCGGUUGGAGGGAUAGUGGCCGCAGCGGGGAUGAUAGCGUAAGGUCAUGUCCUC